UAUUGAUAAAGGGAUCCCUCCAACUCUCACUCCAGUAUCCUUUUCUUUCCCUAGAACUACUCAACGAACUCCAUGUUCCUUAAUGUUUAAAGGGAGCAAAUACCUCCCCGACACCCCCAAAGAAUGUAAGCUUUCAUUAUUUUUGAACAAGGGAUGGAGCGGAAGACAAGGGGAUACAGAUCUCACACUCAAGGGAACUUCUCCACACUCAAAACCUAUAGUUGAAGUCUACAGUCAAGACUGCACAGCUAACCUCUGAAGAUGCUCGAAGAAAACUUGAAGGCUCACAUCAUCCGUGAAUAUUAUAUCUGACCCAGCAGCCAUCUCAUUGGCAUUAUUGUAUGUAGCUGAUGGGUUCAACUUUGCCAAUAAGAACCUUGCCUGAUAAGGUGACAUGAGAUAAUGAGAUCGAGCAAGUUUCUAUGAAAUAGUUAACCUUCCAGUUCACUAGUGCAACAGUGGACGCCCAAUGUGGAAUUAACAAAAAAUUUUU